AUGAGAACUUCAUUCUUUUCAUUGAGAAACCAUCAAAAAGUUUUCAUUUUUAAAAGAAAAAGCCAACGGUUUUUGAUAAAACCCAAAACGAAAGUUUUUAUACUAAAUCAUAUAAAGCAAAAAAUAAAAAAAGAAUAGUCCCAAUCUUCAUUUGUUCCCUUUUCUUCUCCAUCGUCAGAUACUCUUUCCUUCAUUAGUAUAUCUCCUCCAAUCCCUUCCUCUCGCGCCAAAAUAAAAUAAAAAUAACAUUUCUCUACUUUAUUUCUUUGUUUAAGUCUAGUAUCUUCUUCUUUGUUCUCUCAGUGCUGAUCUAAGGUCAUUCAAGGACAUGGCGGAUGGUAUGGCAAGGGGGCCAACGAGUCCAGCAGAAGGGAGUCAUGAGAGUGGAGAGCAGUGCAGUUCUCACUCAACUGUGAGGGAACAAGACCGUUACCUUCCAAUUGCCAAUAUAAGCAGAAUCAUGAAGAGAGCAUUGCCUACUAAUGGCAAAAUUGCUAAGGAUGCUAAAGAAACUGUUCAAGAAUGUGUUUCUGAGUUCAUCAGCUUCAUCACUAGCGAGGCUAGUGAUAAAUGCCAGAAAGAGAAGAGGAAGACAAUUAAUGGAGAUGAUUUGUUGUGGGCAAUGGCAACAUUAGGCUUUGAAGACUAUAUUGAGCCACUUAAAAUAUAUCUGGCCAGGUACAGAGAGGUAUGUAAAUGGAGCUUUAACUUUUGAUCCAUUUUUUUGAUAUUUCAUAGCAUAGAACCUGUUAGGCUAGAAGAUUUGAAUAGAUGAGAAUUUUUUGUUCUAUUCUUGACAUUUUCAUAUCUGCCUGGUGUUUAAUCUGACUCUUUCUUUUUGACCUUCUUGGGGUUGAUGUUAUUGGAAUGAUCAUGAUGCACAGUUGGAGGUAAUUACACUCUCUUUUUCAUGGCUAAUAUAUAUAUACAUGUAUAUAUAUAUUGUGUAGUUUGUAUACUUUGACAGUGUCUCCUUUAACUGCAAACAUUCCAAUUGACAGGGUGAUGCUAAGGGAUCAAUCAGGGGUGAAGUGCCUCUUAAAAGAGAUGCAGUUCGAGUUCUUGCUGUCCCCAACCCACAGUUUCCUAUCCAAGGAUCAUUGAACUAUAUUAAUUCCCAGGCACAAGGACAUCAUAUGAUCGUCCCCUCCAUGCAAGGCAACGAGUAGCUGAUCCGAGCUUCCUCUACCACUUCCAUAAGUAUUAGGGCUGGUUAUAUUGUUUAAUCCAAACACUUCUAGGAUCUUUAAUGGGGAAUUAAUCUUAAUUAUGCAAAGCUAAAUACUUUGGGGAAUUUUUUUUUUGUUAGCUUGUUCUAAGGUAAUAUGGAGCUGUAUAAGUUGCUGUAAAUUUAGCUAUUUAUAUGAUAAUAUGGUAUAUUGCUUUGCAUUUAGUAUUUAAAUCUUUCAAUGA